rnacentral:lncRNA from 1 species
AUAGGUAACCAUUGUAGAACUCAUGCGGUUCAAACAGAAGCCGAAUGAGGAGCUAUCAGAUUACGUUGACAAGUUCAGGGCCCAGACAUAGAAGUGUGCAGAGCCGAUUGAAGAAAAGAACCUGGUCAGCAUUUGCAACAAUGGUGCCUUAGAUUCCUUCAAGCCCCACCUCAUUACCAAGGCUUGUGAUUCCUUUGCGACCCUCUCAGCUUUCGCACAAGACUUGGGAGAAAUUAUGACACUGCCC